GAUGAACGCUAGCGGCAGGCCUAACACAUGCAAGUCGAGGGGCAGCACAAAGGAUAGCUUGCUAUUCUUGGUGGCGACCGGCGCACGGGUGCGUAACGCGUAUGCAACCUACCCGUAACUGGGGGAUAAUCUGGAGAAAUUCGGUCUAAUACCCCAUAAUACAUUGAGUGGCAUCACUUGAUGUUGAAAAUUCCGAUGGUUACGGAUGGGCAUGCGUUGUAUUAGCUAGUUGGUGAGGUAACGGCUCACCAAGGCUACGAUACAUAGGGGAACUGAGAGGUUAAUCCCCCANACUGGUACUGAGACACGGACCAGACUCCUACGGGAGGCAGCAGUGAGGAAUAUUGGUCAAUGGGGCGAGAGCCUGAACCAGCCAAGUCGCGUGAGGGAAGACGGUACUAAGUAUUGUAAACCUCUUUUGUCAGGGAACAAAGAGACCACGUGUGGUAAGAUGAGUGUACCUGAAGAAAAAGCAAUCGGCUAACUCCGUGCCAGCAG
rnacentral:rRNA from 1 species